AGCUCCUUCAGGCCAGGGAUAUCUCCCACUUCUCCAGUAGAAUAGUACACAGGAAGUGCUCAACAUGUAUCGAAGGAAUGGAGUCAAACUGACACGCAAAAAAUUGGUAACUUUGCUAUCAGUUGGCUGAGCAAAUGUGACUGUAAGUGUAUAUUACUGCACCAUGAAAAAAUGAUAAAAGGGAUGGAUUCAGAGAAACAUGAGAAGACAGACAUAUAUGAACUGAUUUGGAAUGAAAUGAGAAGAGCAAUUUCUACAAUGGCUACAAGAAUGUAAAGGAAAACAACUGUGAAAGAAUUAAGAACUCUAAUCAUGGUUCCAGAAGACUGAUAAAGCAUGCUUCCCUCUUCUUGAUAAAGAGGUGACAGACUAGAGGUACAGAACGAGACUACAUUUUUAACUACAUCCAAAAUGUGGAUUUGUUUUGUUUGGUUAUUCUUAUUUGUUAUGAAGGAGGACUUCUAUUUGGGGAGAAAGGGACAGUGAUAGUGAUGCAGGAAAAAUAAAAACAACAGAAAAGAAUGUCAAUGAAACAUUUUAAAAUAGAAGAGGGGCAGCUAGGUGGCGCAGUGGAUAGAGCACCGGCCCUGGAGUCAGGAGUACCUGAGUUCAAAUCCAGCCUCAGACACUUAACACUUACUAGCUGUGUGACCCUGGGCAAGUCACUUAACCCCAAUUGCCUCACUAAAAAAAAAAAAAAAAUAGAAGAGAGCAGAAGGAAGUUCAGAAAGAGAUUCACAUAAGCAAGACCAUGUGGGUACCAUUUACAGUCCUCUUCUCUUUUCUUCUUUGUGCUGUGUACAAUGAAAAGGUCACAUCUGUUCAUAUUUGUUAGUAUCAUUAGUAUUUUUGUAUUGUAAAGAUCCUACAAUCAUAUCAGUGUUUAAAUCACCUCUUUCACCCAGCCUCCACCACAAAGCUCUAAGUUCCUCUAAUCCUGUGAAGUCAAAUUCCAAUAGGAACAGAUCCCUACAGGCCACAUAUUGACUUAGAAAACCACAAAUUAACAUCAUUUAUGCUGUACUAUAUUUUUAUUUAUUUUGUUAACCAUUUCCCAAUUACAUUUUAACCUGGUUUGACCCACAUUCCAGACAUGGGCUGUAAUUUUGAUGCCUCUGCUCUAGUCUAUAGGAUGAGUCUGGUGUCCAUGAGCUUGCUUUUCAAAAAUAAAUUUUGAUAACUGUA